rfam:Aedes aegypti strain Liverpool supercont1.28 genomic scaffold, whole genome shotgun sequence.
CCUCUCAUGGCAUAGUGGUUAACGCGCCCCAACUAGAGAUCGGGGAGUCGUGAGUUCGAUUCUCACUGAGAAGA